GAAAAGACUAUGAAGAGAAGAGUAGAUAUGGAACGUAGUUCAAGCGAGUCGGUGAUGGUGGGAGACCGAUACGAAGUCCAUAUUGAAGAACAUCUCGGAGUCUCUAACCGAAAUCAUUAAGGAGAGUAGGCUUAGACGGAACCAAACCGUUAUUAUUUGGACAGUAUAGAGUGUUUCCUGUACUGGUAGAGUUGGCUGUAUAUGCAGCAAUUAGGGUGGCACCGCGAAAGUAACCUUUCGUCCCUUGU
rnacentral:ncRNA from 1 species